GUCCUGUAUUGGUUGUUGCUCAGAGAGAGUGGCUUGGUAUGGCCUGUGUUUCAAUGUUGGGGUGAAGGGGAAAUCAUCUUCGGAGUUCUUGGGCAAGAGGCCUGCGGGCAUACACAUACCUGUAGUACGUACUAUGUCUAUGUACACUAGGUCAUCAUGCUGCUUGUUAUGGCGCACACCUGCGUGUCAUCAGACUCACCUGGACUCAUCACCUCCUUGAUUACCUGCCCAAUAUAUGUCACUCCCUUUGGUUCCUUCCCCAGGCGUUGUUUCCUAUCUGUUCGUGUUUAUUAAAUAUUCACUCUUGUACUUGGUUCCUGACUCAGUGCACACGUUACAGUUGAGCAUGAAAAACCCAGCAGUGUUGCAGUUCUUCACACACUCAAACUUGUGCGCCUGGCACCAUACCCGUUCAAGGCACUUAACUCUUGUCUUGCUCAUUCAUCCUCUGAAUGGAACACAUACACUAUGUAUCAAGGCUUAAAAUACUCCUUUAACCAUUCUUCAUCUACACCACUGGUUCCAAACUUUUUAUAGUCCCUUAC
rnacentral:lncRNA from 1 species